AGAACUGAUAAUUCGAUAGGUGGAAUGAUGGGGUAACGCCCUGAAACGCCUCCCUGAGACCUGCGAGUGGCGUAGCUGCAAUUAAGUGCAAAAAUGUCAUAGAGCUCGCUGAAGUCGGCUGAGAGUACACCCUAACAGACAAUGCUGAGGAACAGUGAACCAGAGGUGGUCAAGUGUACGAUAGGUCGGGGGUCUACAAA
rnacentral:ncRNA from 1 species